rnacentral:rRNA from 1 species
AACGCGAAGAACCUUACCUGGGUUUGACAUGGCCGCAAAACCGGCAGAGAUGUCGGGUCCUUCGGGGGCGGUCACAGGUGGUGCAUGGCUGUCGUCAGCUCGUGUCGUGAGAUGUUGGGUUAAGUCCCGCAACGAGCGCAACCCUCGUUCGAUGUUGCCAGCGCGUUAUGGCGGGGACUCAUCGAAGACUGCCGGGGUCAACUCGGAGGAAGGUGGGGAUGACGUCAAGUCAUCAUGCCCCUUAUGUCCAGGGCUUCACGCAUGCUACAAUGGCCGGUACAAUGGGCUGCGAUACCGUGAGGUGGAGCGAAUCCCAAAAAGCCGGUCUCAGUUCGGAUCGGGGUCUGCAACUCGACCCCAUGAAGUCGGAGUCGCUAGUAAUCGCAGAUCAGCAACGCUGCGGUGAAUACGUUCCCGGGCCUUGUACACACCG